rnacentral:lncRNA from 1 species
UCAGACCCCAAAAGGGACCCGGGAAUGCUGUUGGAGGCAGGAGUGGAAGGCAAGAAUGAUAGCUUCGAGGAAGCAAAAUACCUGCCAGCAACUCCAUGCUGGACCAGAUCAACUCCCGUCUGGAGCAGCUGGAGGAAAACCACCACCUCCACACCCACUUCCAGGAGCUGCUGGAAUCCAACCGGCAGACACGCCUUGAGUUCCAGCAGCAGCUCCGGGAGGCCCCCAGCGAUGUCAGCCUCUAG